AGUGAACGCUGGCGGCAGGCCUAACACAUGCAAGUCGAGCGGCAGCGCGGGGGCAACCCUGGCGGCGAGCGGCGGACGGGUGAGGAAUUCGUCGGAAUCUGCCUUUUUGUGGGGGAUAACGUAGGGAAACUUACGCUAAUACCGCAUACGUCCUACGGGAGAAAGUGGGGGACCGCAAGGCCUCACGCAGAAAGAUGAGCCGACGAACGAUUAGCUAGUUGGUGGGGUAAAGGCCCACCAAGGCGACGAUCGGUAGCUGGUCUGAGAGGAUGAUCAGCCACACUGGGACUGAGACACGGCCCAGACUCCUACGGGAGGCAGCAGUGGGGAAUAUUGGACAAUGGGCGCAAGCCUGAUCCAGCCAUGCCGCGUGUGUGAAGAAGGCCUUCGGGUUGUAAAGCACUUUUGUCCGGAAAGAAAUCCCUGGAGCUAAUACCUUCGGGGGAUGACGGUACCGGAAGAAUAAGCACCGGCUAACUUCGUG
rnacentral:rRNA from 1 species